UACGUAGGGGGCAAGCGUUGUCCGGAAUCAUUGGGCGUAAAGAGCUCGUAGGCGGUGUGUCACGUCGGCCGUGAAAACCUGCAGCUUAACUGUGAGCUUGCGGUCGAUACGGGCAUCACUGGAGUUCGGCAGGGGAGACUGGAAUUCCAGGUGUAGCGGUGAAAUGCGUGGAUAUCUGGAGGAACACCGGUGGCGAAGGCGGCAUUCUGGACCGACAUUGACGCUGAGGAGCGAAAGCCAGGGGAGCAAACGGG
rnacentral:rRNA from 1 species